rnacentral:rRNA from 1 species
CCUACGGGAGGCAGCAGUGAGGAAUAUUGGUCAAUGGACGCAAGUCUGAAUCAGCCAUGCCGCGUGCAGGAAGACGGCUCUAUGAGUUGUAAACUGCUUUUGUACGAGGGUAAACGCAGAUACGCGUAUCUGUCUGAAAGUAUCGUACGAAUAAGGAUCGGCUAACUCCGUGCCAGCAGCCGCGGUAAUACGGAGGAUUCAAGCGUUGUCCGGAUUUAUUGGGUUUAAAGGGUGCGUAGGCGGUCGGAUAAGUUAGAGGUGAAAUCCCGAGGCUCAACUUCGGAAUUGCCUUUGAUACUGUUCGGCUAGAGAGUAGUUGCGGUAGGCGGAAUGUAUGGUGUAGCGGUGAAAUGCUUAGAGAUCAUACAGAACACCGAUUGCGAAGGCAGCUUACCAAGCUACUUCUGACGUUGAGGCACGAAAGCGUGGGGAGCAAACAGGAUUAGAUACCCUUGUAGUC